rnacentral:rRNA from 1 species
GAGUUUGAUUCUGGCUCAGGAUGAACGCUGGCGGCGUGCUUAACACAUGCAAGUCGAACGAAGCGGGAAGAAAGAAGUUUUUCGAAGCGGAUUUUUUCUUUGCUUAGUGGCGGACGGGUGCGUAACACGUAGGUAACCUGCCCUGUUCAUUGGAAUAACUCCGGGAAACCGGUGCUAAUGCCAAAUAAUAUCGCCUGUCGGCAUCGAGAGGUGAUCAAAGAAUUUCGGAACAGGAUGGGCCUGCGCCGGAUUAGCUGGUUGGUGAGGUAAGGGCUCACCAAGGCGACGAUCCGUAGCCGACCUGAGAGGGUGAUCGGCCACACUGGAACUGAGACACGGUCCAGACUCCUACGGGAGGCAGCAGUGGGGAAUAUUGCACAAUGGGCGAAAGCCUGAUGCAGCAACGCCGCGUGAGCGAUGAAGGCUUUCGAGUCGUAAAGCU